CUACCUCAGCAUUCCUACUUCCAAAUCGCGACACGUGUCGUGCAUUGAGACACCCUUUUUUGUUUUCGAUUUUCACUCUCGCAGCUUCUCUAAUUUUGUUUUUCCUGUUAUUAAAAUGUGAGGAUAUGUGGGCUUUCUGAUCAUUUUGGGCCUAACUUUUAAUUCCAAGGCCCCAUAGUUUUAGGGUUGGUCUUCAGGUUCCAUGUUGUCAACGUAGUCGCCUCCUUCCUCUUCCUCUUCGCUGAGUUCUGUAACGUUAGUUUUAAAACUAUUCAAUUCCAUCUUCAAUUUUUCAUUACGCUCCGCUCACCUCUCUUCCCUCUCUGCCAUUUAAUUUCAAUAAGAGCAGCUUCUGUAACUGAUCGAAGCUUCCCCUAUAAAUAAGGGUUUUUGGGGCAAUGGAGAUUUACACAGUUUUGAUUUUUUGCUUCUCUACAAAACAUCCGCGAGCCCUUUGAAAAUGGUGUCUUCCAUUAUGAAAAUAUGAAAAUAUACGCAGGUGAGAGUGAAUAUGGAUAAUGCCGUGAAGAGCCUCUAAAAGAAGAGACGGGUCCUCUGCAAAGAGAUAUUGUGAUCCCUAAGCGUUUUACCCCGUAACUUAUUGUCCGACAGGUUGCUGCAGAUGGUACUCACUCUGUAGUUUGACACGCGAAAGUUAUAUGUGGAGUUGGGGUCAUCCGUGACUUCUCCAUGACAUGUAUAGAUUAAAAUUAAAUGUUCGAUUUUGUUUUACUUUACUGUAGAAAACAAAUAUUUGUUCCAGUGUCAAGGUCAUGAAAAUUUCUGUUGAAGCAUUUUGUAAUGUGGCUCUUAAAGAAGAUGGAUAGGCUCUUGGCACAACCCCUCAUCCUGUCCCAGUCCGAGGCCUCAAUGAUCUCACUUGGGUGGAUGGUUGAAGAAGAGGAGAACACGAAAGACUCGGGUUAGGUGACAAUGACAAGAUCAGCAAAAUAGUUCCACAGAAAGUCAAUCUUAUCCCUGACGAAGAUAUCAUUCAGGUUGUAAAGCCUUAAACUUUAAUUAUCUUGAAUCUCUAAAAGAGGAUUACAUUCAUUUAAAGAUGCACUAAACUUUAAUGAUCAAUAAUCUUUUUACAAAUACGUUUCUUGCUUCUGAACACAUUCCGUUGCUUUGACAAGAGAACAAAAUCUUUUCGGUUGCUCCCUUGAAACCCAAGAAACCUGCUUUAAGGUUUUACUUCAUAAGAAAAGUCAUUUUACCAUGGCUAUUUGGGUGAUCAGUUUGGUAGAGGAGAUCAUGGAAGACUUGGUUAUAGAAGGAAUGUAACACUUGGACAGUUUGGUGGGCUCC